rnacentral:sRNA from 1 species
AUGUUGAUGUUUCCGAUAUUGAGUAUACAUAUACACAUGAAUUGGUAAAGCUCAAAUAAAUAUUCAACACGACAUUAUCAAAAAAACAAACUGAAAACACCAAAAACUGCAUGGUCACCCACAGUUGAGGGUCACUGCGACAUCUUUGGUAAGAACCAGUUUGGUCAGCUUUGGAACCAGUUCAACAACAGCAUACAGCUACAGGAAGUGAAGAUUGCUUAGACUCAGAAGGUUGCCUUGGUGAUGUGGGAACAUGUUCACCAUGGUUGUCCCUGAUGAAGGAGAACUGUACUCCUCUGGAAACCAGACUAAAGGGAAUCCUGGGUGACACAAAAAAGAUCCCAUGAAGUCAGGGAAAGUCCCCGUCAUGGGAAACGAUCCUUCUGUAGUGGUCUCCCUGUCCUGUAGUCAUGGAAACACUCCUAGCUACCAGAUGUAUGCAACAUUUAACUUUUUAUUAAAAAUAUCUUACUGUGGUUUCAUCAAUAUUCAUUGAAUACCAAUUUGUCGUUGAUUUCGUUGUUAAGUUGAUCCACGAAAUUUAAAGUUCAUGAAAGAUUUAAUUAUCACAAUUAAGAACCAAGUCCUGAAUUGUACCGAAAUCGAAAUAUGAGUUCAGAUCCACACAUAGACCCUGUUAUAUGCAACACACCAGUACAGAUACCAAGAAGAGAAAUUAAACAUUUUUUAGCUACGACAAUCUGGAGUCACCAGUGUGUUGGAAUUUCAGAGCUGUCCAGGGGAUGGGACUUCAUGAAGGAUAGACAAUGUGUACAUGUAAUACAUGGUACAUUGUGAUUAUUUUGAUAUACCAAGUGCUGUUUAAAAAAGUAUAAUAAUCUAAAUUCAUCCAAUUCAAAUUUUUAUCAUUUUUCAGAAAUAUCUUUAUAUCACAUAUAUUUCACAUGUACAAGCUCGUAUAUGCCUUUGUACUAAAUUUUCAUUUGAUAUAAGAAACAAAAUGUAUAUGUACCUAUCAAUGAUUUUUGGGAGUUGAUUUUAAUCAACUCUCCUAUGCACUUACUCGGGCAAAGCGAAAGUGAAACAGUGUUUGGACCUAAGCACAAAUCAAUACCGUUGACAACACUUAGUUCUUGAAAAUAAUCGAUAAAUUCGAUGCUAUGUAUUCUGAAGCAUUGUUUUCAAGAAAACUUAUUUAUUAAUACCAUGAAAAUAAUAAGAUUUUAAAUAGUACAAACAGUUUAGAUAUUUUUUUAAAGUCGUAUGUAUUCCUACGCUAGCGUUCAAUGUAGUCUCGUUCAACCAGACAGCCGAGCGUUUUGUUGAACAAGACAAGAGUUCAAUCUUGCCUGGAUUCAUACAAUUUCUCAGAAAUAUUUCGAUUACUGGUACUAGCUACUUGCCAUGCAAAAUCACAUAUCGUUGAUUUUGAAUAAAUGAUAAUCGAUAAAAUCAACUCCCGUCAGUACUUCAGUACUUUGAUUAUAAAAUUUUCACACUAAUGAUAUGCCAAUAGUUUUGUGUGCAAUAAAAAUCUGUACUUU